AGCCUCCUCUUCUCCAGGCUAAACAGCCCCAGCUCCUAGGGUCACUCUGGCCAUCCUCUCAGGCUGGGCUGGACCUCCAUGAUGAGCGAAGCAGCACGAAAAAGGAAAGUGAAAAGCAUCAAAGAAACCUGUGUUGGCUGGAGAUAAAGAGCAGGGUUAAAUAAUCAAUAAUAAAGAUAAAGGCUGGCACAUAGAGACCCUGCCCUCCUGAUGUGCUCCAUCUCCGUCCCCUAAAGAGAGGAGAGAAGUGGCAGCCAGCCUCUUCCUCCUCACCCCUGCUGCUUCAAACCGCAGUAAAUACUGCGGGAAUUAAAGUAAAUACUUCCAGGGAAGCCAGGAAAGAAAAAAUCCCCUGACAUUGGCUUCUUCUGCAGAAAGAGCCAGAGGCCAGAGCCUGAACUGCGACAGGGACCGAGCCACCCCGACGGAGCCAGGCAGCUGCUCCCUGUCCCUGCCAUGUGCCACCCCGGUGACCCCGGCAGCCCUGGGGACAGCCGUGUGACAGGGCCGAGCUCAGCGGCGCUCGGAGCCCCGCUGAAAGCGUUAACGCUCCAUGAGUAGCUGCCAGGCACCGCGUUCUUCCUCUCCUGCUGCUCCAGGUGUCUCUUGGAGGGAGAUGAGCUCUGCAGGCAGCACCUGAUUUAUGGGACACGGCCUUGGGACGGGCCCUGGAAGCACAAACUGCAGGGAGACGCUACAAAAAUCCCCAACGUGCUCUUCCGGCAGGGCUGGGGACAUCUGCGAUCCUGCAGGGACCGGCUGGACCACGAGCAUCCCUGUCCCGACAUCCCGACAUCCCGACAUCCCGGGCGCAGCCGCGCUCCGCCAGCACCCACUGCUGGAGGCCGGGGAACUGCACCGGCUACGGCCGCUCCAGAGCCUCGGAAUUCCCAACCAAAGCCCACGGGGGCUCCUGGAGAUGGGUCCCGACGCUCCCCGAGCGAGCCCGUGUCCGUCCCGACAUCCCUGUGCAGGCGGGAAGGGACAGCAGCGCCUGGAGUCCCACCCGCCCUGCUCACAGCCCGCCUGCCCCAGAGCUGAGCUUAACCCCAAUUCCCGGGACAAACCCCACAGAGAGCACAGAACAAUCCCCUGUCCAGCCCAAAGUUCCCCCUUGCCCGGAAAAGGGUGAAAUGUUGGUGGGUGAAGCAGAGAGCGGCAGGUGCUGGUCCCGAACCCGCAUUCCCCACGCUAGAGGGAAUCAGAGCUCCACAUUUCAUUUCUCCCUUCAGCAGCCACCGGCAGCUCCGGGCUCGCCCCAAAGUGCUGCCCUCUUCAGCUGGAGCUAUUUUAAAUUUAAUCUAUUUUUAAUUUAAUCUAAUUUAAAUUUUCCUGGAAGAAUUCACCGGGUAUAUUUUCUCUAUUCACCGGGAAUAUUUUCUCUAUUCACCGGGAAUAUUUUCUCCAUUCACCAGGAAUAUUUUCCACACCCAGAGAAGCCUCGUGGGACCACGGGGUGAGAGGAGCAGCCCCCAGCCCCCAGGACCUGCUUCUAGGGAUGGGUUUAUCCAGCAGAGCUCGAAGCCCCCACAGCUGCUUGGGAUGAGCCAAACCUCUGCCUAAGAACCUCAAACCUGUCUCCCUAUGGAGGGUCUGAGGUGCAGCAUCACCUCACACCCAAAACUGAGCCCAAAAUUUUUGCUGAGCCCAAAAUUCCUGCAUGUUCUCCCCCAGACCAUGGCUUUUCACCAGGUGCAGGUUUGAGACUCACCCCUAAAGGAACACAUCUGAAUUCACACACAGCGGAUCAUGCACAGAGAAAUUUUUAGGCCAAGGAUGCUUUAAAAAAUCAGUUUAUUUUACCUUACAAAUGAUAAAUAAUUUGUCUUUAAAAAAAAAAUCAUUUCACGUGUGUUUUACUUCAUGUUCCAAUAUUAAAAUAGCUUUCCCUUCUCCCCCCACCCCCUUUAAGUGAUUGAUACAAAAAUAAUUGUGACCAAAUUCUUUCUUUUCUUCUUCUGCAAAAAUUCCUGUAUUUUAGGCAAAAAGGCACAUUGUGAAGGCUUUUCACCAGGAGGCACAGGGGUUCCUCAAGACCCCAAGAGCUUCUCUCCCCUCUGUGCUUGUCCUAAUCUGAGUGGAAGAGGACACAGUCCCAAGCAGCACUUCCAGUGCUGUUUGUCUGGUCCCUCCAGGAAUAUUCCAGGGCCAAGGACAACUUCAGUGUCACCCUUGUUUAACAUGUGGGGGAAACCAAGGCACAGCAAAGCAGUUCAGUUAUUUAAGAGCUUCUUGUGAAUAGCUGGCAGAGCAGGACAUAAAACUGGACGUGGAUGUAGAAUCCUGUCUUCUCCAAAACCCACCUGGGAUCAUCCUCCCCCCUCUCCAACCACGAGUCUCCAGAUGUUUCUUUCUUAGUGGAACACUCACAAGACCAACACAAAAAGUUGGGCCUUCACUAGUCUAGAAAGGGAUUAAUUAAAGCCCUAAUUACCAGCCCUUCAGGGGCACAAGAUGCUGGGCUAUAUCCCCCUGGUGCAGCUUCCAUCCACAGGGGGAUAUAACAGCAAGUCAGGCACUAGGAAAAGC